AUGUUCUGCUUGGCUCGGUCAGUGUUUUAUUUUACGUGACGGUGAACAAGUGCUGAAAACGUUCUGGAUGUUGCGCAGUGUAGCCGACAACCUGGCAGGUGACUGGGGAAGUACCAGGUUGGGAGAAGAUCUUUUCUUCAAGACUUGAAUUUCAAAUGAACUCCGUAAUAGAUUCAAUGUCAUUUAAUUUCCUUAAAGAUGUUGAUUUUUCAAGGAGCUUGAGCUUGUUGUAUUUAAACCUUCUGAGACAUUUAAAAGCCUUUUAUAAAGCCCUCAAGCU